UCCCUGGUGGCUCAGAUGGUAAAGCAUCUGCCUACAAUGCAGGAGACCCAGGUUCAAUCCCUGGAUUGGGAA
rnacentral:tRNA from 1 species